rnacentral:sRNA from 12 species
CAAGGGAGGAACCAAUAUGACGAAGUCAUAUUAUAAAGAUGGUUCCGACGACCUGCCGCCGAGCGGAAGCGAGGGGGCAACACAUAUU